rnacentral:rRNA from 1 species
CAGCCGCCGCGGUAAUACUCGCGGUCCAAGUCGCAGCCAUUUUUAUUGGGUCUAAAACAUCCGUAGCUUGCUUUGCAAGUUCUUUGUGAAAUCCUGUCUCUUAAGGGCGGGGCGAGCAAAGAGUACUACAGAGCUAGAGAUUGGAAGACGUAAGAAGUAUGUUCGAAGUAGCGGUAAAAUGUGUUAAUCUCGAACAGACUAACAAGAGCGAAGGCAUCUUACGAGGACAGUUCUGACAGUAAGGGAUGAAGGCCAGGGGCGCAAAAGGGAUUAGAUACCCCUGUAGUCCUGGCAGUAAACACUGUACACUAAACAUUAGCACCUCCUCGAGAGGUAUUAGUGCUGAAGGGAAGCCGAAGAGUGUACUACCUGGGAAGUAUAGCCGCAAGGCCGAAACUUAAAGGAAUUGGCGGGGAGACACUACAACAGGUGACGCGUGCGGUUCAAUUAGAUUCUACACCGUGAACCUCACCAGGAGCGACAGCAGAAUGAAGGUCAGUCUGAAGGGCUUACCUGACACGCUGAGAGGUGGUGCAUGGCC